GACGAACGCUGGUGGCGUGCCUAAUACAUGCAAGUAGAACGCAGUUGCGAACGGGUGAGUAACGCGUAGGUAACUGCCUCAUAGCGGGGGAUAACUAUUGGAAACGAUAGCUAAUACCGCAUACUGUGAGAUGGACCUGCUUUGUAUUAGCUAGUUGGUGAGGUAAAGGCUCACCAAGGCGACGAUACAUAGCCGACCUGAGAGGGUGUACGGGCACGCGGGGAGUUGGAGGCGGCCAAGACUCCUACGGGUGGCAGCAGGAGGGAAGCUUCGGGAAUGGAGGGAAGUCUGACCGAGCAACGCCGCGGGGGUGAAGAAGGAAUUCGUAUCGUAAAGCUCUGUUGUUAGAGAGGCGGUGACUAACCGGAAAGGGACGGGUAACUACGUGCCAGCAGCCGCGGUAAUAC
rnacentral:rRNA from 1 species